rnacentral:rRNA from 1 species
UACGUAGGUGGCAAGCGUUGUCCGGAAUUAUUGGGCGUAAAGCGCGCGCAGGCGGUCCUUUAAGUCUGAUGUGAAAGCCCACGGCUCAACCGUGGAGGGUCAUUGGAAACUGGGGGACUUGAGUGCAGGAGAGAAAAGUGGAAUUCCACGUGUAGCGGUGAAAUGCGUAGAGAUGUGGAGGAACACCAGUGGCGAAGGCGACUUUUUGGCCUGUAACUGACGCUGAGCCGCGAAAGCCAGGGGAGCGAACGGG